ACUGUAUUUCUUCAGCUGGUUGGCCA
rnacentral:piRNA from 1 species